rnacentral:rRNA from 1 species
CCUACGGGAGGCAGCAGUGAGGAAUAUUGGUCAAUGGACGAGAGUCUGAACCAGCCAAGUAGCGUGAAGGAUGACUGCCCUAUGGGUUGUAAACUUCUUUUAUAUGGGAAUAAAAUGUUCCACGUGUGGGAUUUUGUAUGUACCAUAUGAAUAAGGAUCGGCUAACUCCGUGCCAGCAGCCGCGGUAAUACGGAGGAUCCGAGCGUUAUCCGGAUUUAUUGGGUUUAAAGGGAGCGUAGGUGGAUUGUUAAGUCAGUUGUGAAAGUUUGCGGCUCAACCGUAAAAUUGCAGUUGAAACUGGCAGUCUUGAGUACGGUAGAGGUGGGCGGAAUGCGUGGUGUAGCGGUGAAAUGCUUAGAUAUCACGAAGAACUCCGAUUGCGAAGGCAGUUCACUGGACUGCAACUGACACUGAGGCUCGAAAGUGUGGGUAUCAAACAGGAUUAGAUACCCGAGUAGUC